UUUUGUUUUAAAWAUAAAGUAUAACCUGCCCMUUGAUAUUUUUAAAAGGCUGCGGUAUUUUGACCGUACAAAGGUAGCAUAAUCAUUAGUUUUUUAAUUAAGAACUUGUAUGAAUGGUUGGAUGAGAAAUAUACUUUUUUAAUAUAAAAAUUGAAUUUUACAUUUUAAUUAAAAGGUUAAAAUAUUUUUAAAAGACGAGAAGACCCUAUAGAGUUUUAUAAUUUAUAUUUAAUGUAAAAAAAAAUUAAUAAAUAUUUUUAUUUAAAUAAUUAUUUUGUUGGGGUGACGAUAAAAUUUAAUUAACUUUUAUUUUUUUUUUACAUUAAUAUAUGAAGGAUUGAUCCAUUAUUAGUGAUUAAAAAUUUAAAUUACCUUAGGGAUAACAGCGUAAUUUUUUUUUUAAGUUCAUAUUAAUAAAAAAUUUUGCGACCUCGAUGUUGGAUUAAGAUUUAAUUUUAGGUGCAGAAGUUUAAAAUUUAAKUCUGUUCRACUUUUAAAUUCUU
rnacentral:rRNA from 1 species